AAAACGGCCCUUUUCAGGGUCACAACAAUGAAUAAAGUAAAAUGAA
rfam:Aedes aegypti strain Liverpool supercont1.42 genomic scaffold, whole genome shotgun sequence.